rnacentral:rRNA from 1 species
UACGUAGGGAGCAAGCGUUGUCCGGAAUCAUUGGGCGUAAAGCGCGCGUAGGUGGCCCCAUAAGUCCGCUGUGAAAGUCAAAGGCUCAACCUUUGAAAGCCGGUGGAUACUGUGGGACUAGAGUACGGAAGAGGCGAGUGGAAUUCCUGGUGUAGCGGUGAAAUGCGCAGAUAUCAGGAGGAACACCGGUGGCGAAGGCGGGACUCUGGGCCGAUACUGACGCUGAGGAGCGAAAGCGUGGGGAGCAAACAGG